rnacentral:rRNA from 1 species
GCAAGUCGAGGGGCAGCAUGGACUCAGCUUUGCUGAGUUUGAUGGCGACCGGCGCACGGGUGAGUAACGCGUAUCCAACCUGCCCUUUACUCCGGGAUAGUCUCCUGAAAGGGAGUUUAAUACCGGAUGUGUUUGUUUUUCCGCAUGGGAGCGACAAAUAAAGAUUAAUUGGUAAAGGAUGGGGAUGCGUCCCAUUAGCUUGUUGGCGGGGUAACGGCCCACCAAGGCGACGAUGGGUAGGGGUUCUGAGAGGAAGGUC